AAGACUGUAUUUUCAGGGAUCAUUUUUAUAGUUUUUUUUUUUUUGGAAAUGUGUUUCAAAAGUGUUUGAAUCCCAACCCGCAAUGAUGAGCUGUGAUGCUCUUUACUGAGAGCGAAUCAAGCAUAGAGCAGCAGUCUACAUCGCAGAUUUUGUUGCUGAUGAGCGUUCUGUUUGCAUUUGGCAAUAAUGGGGAAAGGAGUAUGACCUGAGUGUU